UCCUUCUUAGCUCAGGGGUAGAGCGCGUCACUAGUACGGCGAUUACAGUAAGUGAUCCUCGUCAUGACGAGGUCAGUCGUUCAAAUCGGCUAGGAGGAA